rnacentral:rRNA from 1 species
CUCAAACUUUAAUUUACAACUAACCCGCCAGAGAACUACGAGCCAUGCUUAAAACUCAAAGGACUUGACGGUAUCCUAUACCCCACUAGAGGAGCCUGUCCUAUAAUCGAUAAUCCUCGUUAAACCUCACCCUCCUUAGCCUAUCAGUUUGUAUACUUCCGUCGCCAGCCUACCACGUGAGCGCAAUUCAGUAAGCUCUUCGUAAUACACAUGAACGUCAGGUCAAAGUGCAACAAAUAGGAGGGGAAGAGAUGGGCUACAUUCUCUAAAUUAGAGCAUACGGAAAGCUACGUGAAAACUAGCUGGAAGGUGGAUUUAGAAGUAAGAAGAGAAUAGAGUGCUCUUCUAAACCUGGCACUGGGAUGUGUACACACCGCCCGUCACCCUCCUCAAAGGCCCCCCUCGAUAGUAUGUAACACUAGAUAGCCAUAAAG